GAAAUGAGAGGUUUCAAGAAAAAGCUGCUAACUUUUUUCUUUAGCGGUUAAACUCCGUUUACAUUUCU
rnacentral:tRNA from 1 species